CCCUAGCCCAUUCUCCGCGCCGCUGCCGCCGCCGCCUCCCGUCCCCUGGCGCCGCCACCAUGCCCACUCGCCGUCGCGCCUUCCCCUCCUCCUCGUCCUCUCGCUGCUCAGCAGGAGGAGCACGGCUUGCCGCCGGUUCUAACGCGCCGCCUCCCUCCUCCGCCCCUCCCCUCGAGCCGCCGGUUGGCGCCUUCCCUCCCUGCCUCGCCUCUUCUCCUCUGCGUCGCCUGGGUUGGAUGAACCCUAGCCUCCACUCCCCCUCUCCCCUUCUCAGCCGCGCUCUCUUCUCUCUCCGCCCCCACUCGCGCCGCCACCCACCGGGAAGCACCACGGCUGCUGCUGCUCCUCAGGCGAGCUCGCACAUCAUCAUCGGGAGGCGAGGACGCUGCUGCUGCUCCGCUCAUGGACAUGGAGCCUUCCUCCCUGCUCGUCAAGGAUUCAGUUCGCUACAGCACCGUCGCCAUCAUUGUUGUGAUGAGCGCCUUGGCGCUGCUGCUUCUGUGUGGUGGCGCUGUUCGACGCCCGCUACAAAACCAACCAGGGUCAAGGCGGACUUGAAGGAAUACAUGCAGCCACCUUUGUAACGCCAUUGGCUUUGUAGACUUCUUGUACCUUCAGUGUCCAUCUUCCACCUCCCGGUUCGCUCGGCCUCAGCCAGGAUCUUCCCCACCCUGCUCUUAUGUUGUGAAAACUCAUGCAUGCCGAAAGCCGCCUCCAUGCUGCAGCUGCCGCAACCUGUAGGUCCAUGCUCCGUCCAAUCUUCAGAUGAAACAAUCUGGACUGUUGGAUCUCAUACGAAACAAUAUGGGCGCACAUGGUCGCCGCGUCGCUGCUGGCCCUCGGCUUCCUCUGCCUGGUUUGUGUGAUGGGUUCCAGCGGUGUGGAGUUGGAGUUUAGUGAUGGUGACACCGGUGUCUCAUGCAGGAGUAGGUGCUGACGUAACAAACUAUUUGCAUAGUAAGAAACUGAUAAUAAUCGGCCGUUGCUGUCCGGCAUGAAUCAUACCUAAAGCACAUAGCAACGAUAGCAACCAGUGGUUGAUGGAUUGGUCUGAAUAGAUUGUAAGGGAUUUUCCAUGAAGUGGUUAUUCAAAGAAUGGAACCAAUUUUAUGGUGAGUCUCUCCUGUAGAAUUCUACUAAAAUGUUUAUUUGGCUUGAAGAAUAUUACAAGAUGUAUUUCUCUCCCCCUUGUGUAUGACUUUGUUCCUUAGAUUCUUGUAUGUUUUGACAAAGUGCAAAUAUUUUUUGUACUGGAAAAGACUAUGAUUAAAGCAUACAUAUCAGGACGAAAUUCCUGUAGAAUUUUAUGGAUUAGUACAUUUCUUUUGUUAUAGAUUUUACCUGCUCGGCAAAGUGCAAAACAACGAAAAGCAUCAUGUAUAGCUAUUUGGAAUGCAAGACUAGGAUGUGCUCCUCUUUGCUAUUCAUUUCCGCACUCUGAUUUUUGACCUGCUAAUAUAUGGCUUUCUAAAAUGGACGUGCAUAGAUCUGAAAAAGAAGAGAAGAACAGGAAUCUAGCGGACGAAGGUCAUGCAGUAUUCACCAAUAGAUGAUAGAACCACAUAUUUUGGAAAUUCCUGGACAAAAAACACAAGAGCGUCAUUGUUUGGUCCAUUGCAGGUCAAUGUAGGCACUGGCCAGGCCCUCACUGGAUAACUAUGUUCUUUGUAAAGUGGACGUGAUUGAUCAAGCAGGCAGCUGCGACACUAGACGAGGUGUCCUUACACUGCAAGGCUGCCCUCGACAUAUGUGAAAAGUUUGCCGAGUUAAUUCUUGUCCUCGAGUCAAAUGAAAAUCUGAAAACUAUCAAAGAGAUGCCGAAUGAUGAAUAUUUUCAGAUGCCGACAGGCAUGGUAAAACGUGUUUCCGUAGGAUUUAAACUUCUUGAGUUGUGCACAGAGAAAGAAACUUGGAUAUUCUUAAUCACACAAAGGUGUUUUCUUACAUUUAGGUUGACUAUUAUGUGCUCAUCAUUGACUCCACCACCGCUGGUUUUGAGGAUGGUACCUCCCAAGAAUGACCAGACCCGUGAGCACGUCGUCCUUGCAUUCACUCUUGGAGUGAAGCAGAUUAUCUGCUGUUUAAUAAGAUGGCCCUGAGCUCUGAGAGCCGCCGGCAAGCCACACACUGCAGGGACAAACGAGGGCAUCGAGCCGAGAUGAUGCCAACUUGGUGGAGCUCAAGAAAUGCCAAAGACAACUCAUAGCUGAGCAGUUCUGGUCAUAGUGCUAUAUGAUCGUGUGAAUCCUUUCAGAAUCAGCUCGCCUCUUUAACCAUGACAAAGGAAGGGCCAAAUUCAGAGAGCGACGGCGAUAACACUCCAGCAGCUAAAAGUGUCAACAAAUUAGAGCUAUCAACUGUCGUUGAGAAUCUCGAAAGACACGCUUCAGUAUUAUGCCUCUUAUAAGCGAGAAGCCUGAAUUUGUGCUCUCUUUUGGUAGAUGCAGUAUGUAAUGGCGAAUCACGCCGACCUCUGAAAUGCAUGGAACUUGGUGUUGAGUUAUCUGAAUUGCUGCCCAGGAUUCAGUUCGUAUUUUAUUUACCUAUAAUAUGGUAUGUAAUGACAAGGAAGUUGAGGACUAGGCAUGGAUGUUGUUUAACUAUAUAUUUGCUGGCGACGGUUUCUUAAAUGGUUAGCUGGUCCAUGUAGUGUAAUUUGUUGAGCCUUUUGAUGCUCUCUUUGAUUUUCGAUUCAUUCUUUGUGUCUGAUUAAACUUACCAAUGUUGCUACCAAAACAUAUGUACAUGGCAACUCUAAUAGAGUUUUAACUAUCUAAAUUUUCAUAA